rnacentral:rRNA from 1 species
AGAGUUUGAUCAUGGCUCAUAACGAACGCUGGCGGCAUGCCUAACACAUGCAAGUCGAACGAGACCUCGGGUCUAGUGGCGCACGGGUGCGUAACGCGUGGGAAUCUGCCCUUGGGUUCGGAAUAACUCGCCGAAAGGCGUGCUAAUACCGGAUGAUGUCGUAAGACCAAAGAUUUAUCGCCCAAGGAUGAGCCCGCGUA